rnacentral:rRNA from 1 species
AUUGAACGCUGGCGGCAGGCCUAACACAUGCAAGUCGAGCGGAUGAAGGGAGCUUGCUCCUGGAUUCAGCGGCGGACGGGUGAGUAAUGCCUAGGAAUCUGCCUGGUAGUGGGGGAUAACGUCCGGAAACGGGCGCUAAUACCGCAUACGUCCUGAGGGAGAAAGUGGGGGAUCUUCGGACCUCACGCUAUCAGAUGAGCCUAGGUCUGAUUAGCCAGUUGGUGGGGUAAAGGCCUACCAAGGCGACGAUCCGUAACUGGUCUGAGAGGAUGAUCAGUCACACUGGAACUGAGACACGGUCCAGACUCUUAUGGGAGGCAGCAGUGGGGAAUAUUGGACAAUGGGCGAAAGCCUGAUGCAGCCAUGCCGCGUGUGUGAAGAAGGUCUUCGGAUUGUAAAGCACUUUAAGUUGGGAGGAAGGGCAGUAAGUUAAUACCUUGCUGUUUUGACGUUACCAACAGAAUAAGCACCGGCUAACUUCGUG